UGUGAAUUGUCCAAAAUAGGCAUGUUAUAAUUGCAUUACUAUACAAUUAUUAUUAUUCAUUAUCAAAGUUUAGCAAAGAAUAUUACUUAAUAAGUAAUUAAUUUAAUAUGAAUGGCAUUGCCUUAUUUUUUAUAUUACAUAAUGGUUAACAACAUGAGUAACAAUUUUACUUUAAAAGAAACAAUUAAAAAUAAAUGAACCGGAAAAAAAAAUCACCGGCGGCGGCGAUUAUAAUCUCAAAGUCGGUAGAAGCGCCGGCGACGGCACUGGCUAUAAAAAAAAUUGAUACUUUGGUGUCAUACUAGGUAACAAAGGAUUUAUAAUUCUCUGAUAUACGCCCCAAGGGAGCUGACGAAAUCGGCAAGGGAAGAUUUGAUGGUGGCGCAAACUGAACCAAAGUGUGGCGGGCUGUCAUAAUUCCUCUAUCGAAAUACAGUGACUUAUGUGGCACCGCCGCCUUUAUUGUAAUCGCCGGUCGUCACUGUAACCAAUGAUGGUGGCGGUGCGUACCGCUGGCUAUCUGUCCAUUUGCGGUCUUGUGGCUGCCACCAUGCGUACGCCUCCGUUAGUUAUCAGUAGCCGACUAGAUAUCAAUACGUUUAGAUAGGGAGGAGGAAGAUGAAUCUAAUAGUACUACUAGAGGUGCACCAUCACGGCCGGUAAUGGAAUAGUGGUAGGUGGCAGUGAAGUUUUAUUCUUUUUAUUAAUUUAUGAAUUUUAGUAUUUGUUAUUUAUUUGAUUUUAUUCUGAGGGUGCUUUUGAAAUUGUUUGAUUUCAUUGAGGACACUUUUGAUAUUUUAUAUUUCAAAAUCUGAUUUUCCAAUAAUUAGAUUUUAAGAACUUGUAAGAAUCAAUACAUUUUUAUUUUUUUUUGGAUAAUCAGAUUGUUUAGGAAUCACUUUUGAAAUUAGUUUACCAAACAUAUUAUAGGUGCUAGGUUGUCAAAUAAGUGUUUAUUUUACAAACUAAAGAGAUCUCAAACAUGAUUCAAGUAGAAUGGCAAAUACUUGUAAUUUAUUUUUAGUAGGCACAACCAAUAAUUUCUUGAGUUGCGAUUCAACAUAAUACUCAAUGAAACUUUAGGCUUAGUUGGUGUUGAAGUUGGAUAAUUGUAAAUAUAAUACCAAAUGAAUCUUCAAGUUUGUUUGGUAUUGAGUUUAGACAAUUGUAACUUAAAAGUUAAAAUAUUAAAAUAUUUUGUAAAUACUAAUUAUUAUGGAUUGAGAACUAGUCGAUUUGAUCCCACACUUUUAUGUUGAAAAACAUAUAAUAUCUUUAUUAUUUUUAUCAAAAUUAUCAUUUAAAAUUUAUAUAUAUUACACACCAUUAUUUUAUUAUAAACUUUUAUUUUAUAAUUAUAGUGCAGUGGUUUAAAAAUUGCAACACCUCAAUAUUAGACAGUAACUUAAUAAGAAGAUAUCACGAUGUAAAGCCAUUAUAUAUUUCAAUAACUUAGAUGAAGCUCAACUCUCCUAGCAACUCUAUCUAGCUUCAAGGAUUCUGGUAGCAUCCAAUAAUAAAUAUGAUGCACGAUGAGCAUGACAAGAUCAUACUGAAGUCGAGGUGAAAAAAGAAGAUGAAAAAAGAGAAAAAAAAAUGUGGAAGAUAAGUUAUUCGGCUUUAGAAAAUCGAAUGGUUCAUUUGAUUUCCCCCAGCAUUUAAAACAUAUGGACAUUACAAAGUAGACAAAACUAAACUUUUAGUAAGAGAAAUUAACGACCUAAUCUAGAGAAAAGUAAUUCUUCUUGCUUUCUAAACCCUUGUUCGUCAUUAUAGUUUUCAGCUUGGAAACAUGAAGCUACUUCGAUCCCUCAAAAAACUUGCUCCUUCAAACAGUAUAAUGUUGUUGGAUCGUAUCAAUGUCAAGUCCUUUCAGCUUCACCACCGAUUCAACAUGCCCUUUCAGCGUGUGCAACUCCCUCAGC
rnacentral:lncRNA from 1 species